GAUGAACGCUGGCGGCGUGCCUAAUACAUGCAAGUCGAGCGAACAGAUGAGGAGCUUGCUCCUCUGACGUUAGCGGCGGACGGGUGAGUAACACGUGGAUAACCUACCUAUAAGACUGGGAUAACUUCGGGAAACCGGAGCUAAUACCGGAUAAUAUAUUGAACCGCAUGGUUCAAUAGUGAAAGACGGUUUUGCUGUCACUUAUAGAUGGAUCCGCGCCGCAUUAGCUAGUUGGUAAGGUAACGGCUUACCAAGGCAACGAUGCGUAGCCGACCUGAGAGGGGGGUCGGCCACACUGGAACUGAGACACGGUCCAGACUCCUACGGGAGGCAGCAGUAGGGAAUCUUCCGCAAUGGGCGAAAGCCUGACGGAGCAACGCCGCGUGAGUGAUGAAGGUCUUCGGAUCGUAAAACUCUGUUAUUAGGGAAGAACAAAUGUGUAAGUAACUAUGCACGUCUUGACGGUACCUAAUCAGAAAGCCACGGCUAACUACGUG
rnacentral:rRNA from 1 species